CCAGUGAUGGUGUGCCUAGCGCAGAUCAACGAUAUCAGUUGAACAAGAGCGACACGGUUUUUUUUUUGUUGGAUUUCUCGCCCAAAACCGUUCAAGGGUUUUGCCAAAUACCUUUCCCUCGAUACGGUCGGAUAUAAGCGGCUGAUAGAAAUUUGGAAAACCAGUGCUAGGGUGAAGCUGUCUAACAUCGAUUCACAAUAGUGUGUGACCAGGUUUGUGUGGGGUGUCAUUUAAUGGUGGUACGGGUGUAGUAACAUAGCUGCAUAAUUUCUCCCCAUUUCUGCUGGCACAAUUGUCACGACGGGGCAGAAAAAGUGUUUUGUUUGUCGUUCAACGAAUUUUGUGUGAAGUGUGUUGCUACAGCAGCUGCCGCUGGUGGUGGGGGUAGUAGUAGUAGUGGUAGUGGUGGUGGCUGGUGGUGGUGGUGAUGGUAAGGGUGGUGAUGGUAGGCCAAUCAAGCAAGGCGGAGAUUUGAGUAUUGUACUGAAUCCGGUCACAUCAUCCGUUGGCAGGGUUCUGGAGUACCAGACUCACGGGCGUAGGUCGUUCGCGGUGGUUGUUGUGGCGCCGAGAGGUAGUGGUAGUGACAGCGGCACAGGUUAAGUGGGAUAGAAGAUACACAGCUAACGAGCGGGUGUCGCAGCGCGAGCAAGGAGUGAAAGAGAGCGAAAGUGAUAGCAGCAGAGUAGUGUGUGAUAGGGAAGAAAAUGGAAGCCCACAUCCGGUCGUCAAGGGAAGAAAAGCUGCCCGUGGCCCGGGAAGCAGUGUUUUGUAAAACAUGAAUGCGAUUCCACGAUUCCACGAGCGCUACUGCAGGCAGCAACUAGCCGAGCGCGUCGUGCCGUGGUGACGUGCCGAGGUCAAUCGAGCCAUAAAACCGUCGGACCACUGCACUCUGGCGUCCUUCGCAGGUGUGACAAAACAGCCAACCAACCAACCAUAGGCUUCGGUCCGGCGUGUGAUGGAAUGCAGGUGCGUGCGCGGCUGCAGAUUGUUCGACCGACGCGCAAAGAUUCAUCUGACAACCGAGCAGAGCAGCUCGGUGGCGUGGAAAAGGUGGAAAAGUAUUGCGACUGUUUGCCAGUGCGUAAAACGAUCGCCCCUUGCGCGACACUAGCGCCGGAACGUGUGCAGCGGUGCCCUCGCGCAAGUGUACGGCAGCUUAGUAGUGCCGCCGCCCGCUUGCCGCGGGGUCUGUGUGCUGCGGGACGAAAUUGUGCUAAUAAUUUGUGCCACUUUUUUUCGGGGUGUCACACCGACAAAGGCCGACGGCACCUAUACAUACGGUACCGAGCGAUACGACCGACACACACACCUACAGAAACCCGUGCCCGGAACUCUCGUCCGUCGACGACGAUCGGCUGCAUCGCAACGGAUCGUUGACAACUGCACUGCUGAGCUGAAAGCACCUAGAGAAUUGGAGACUGUUACUGUACAAUGUUAAAAAUGUGUUCCCGCAAUCUAGCAAUUUCGUUGGCAUUGAUUAUCGCACUGGUACCACUGUCAACUGUCGCCUUACCUCACCACAGCAUCGUGAAGCGCAGCUCUUUUUUUGACAUAGAAUGUAAAGGACAGUUCAACAAACAGAUCUUUUACCGGUUGGAUCGAAUAUGCGAAGACUGCUACUCGCUGUUCCGGGAGCCCCAGAUUCUGUCCUUCUGCAAGAAGCAGUGUUUUACGACAGAUUACUUCAAAGGCUGUAUAGACGCGUUACAGCUAACGGAUGAGAUCGAGAAGUUUAAGCCGCUGAUAAAAGUACUAAACGGUGCUGAUCCGAAUACGUUAUAAAACCUACCGCCCAACACAUACUACACACAAACGCGGGACAGCAUUCACGGUGCAUACCUGCGUGUUGUUCGUGCCUACACCACUCUCUACCCAUCGCUCAUCCCCCCCACAAACAAUUGCGGAACUUUACACCAUCGACACUAAGCAUUUUGUGACGAUCUGUUGGAAGCAGUUGGAGCAGGGAGGAGCACCGGAAACGAACACCGAUCGACGAGCAAACGAGAUAUUACGGGCUGCGGAAAUAGAUUACAUAUACUAAGAAAAAAAAUGUAUUUUCUUGACGCCAAAUCGAUGUGAGAUGGAAGGGGGAUUGCUGCAGCGUUCGUUCGAUUAAAAACUUCGAGAGAAGAGAGACAAAACACGAAAUACUACACCACCAGUGGAAACGAGCGAUCGGCACCAGUACCAAAUAUGUACCAGAGCACCAGCAACCGAACCCGUUGUGUUUUUUUUUAUGUUUGAUGCAUUUAGUUCUCAUGAUUUAAUGGGAGGGCUGCUUCGGAACGGACUACUUCUUGGCCUGCGUAGAAGCACUGUUUCUCGAGGAGGAGAAGGAAAAGUUCAUGAAAUGGCGCGAAAUGCUGGGCAAGAAGAAGUAAGCGAAGCGUUUCGAAUGGAUCAACACCGAUAGAAGAAGAAAAAAACAACAACAACAAACGCAGUCGUUGCAGUGUGACACUUUUUGCUUCUUGUUUUGUGAGCAACCAUACACCCACUAUCUCCUACAUGGGACCGGAUGGAUGCUCUCACCGUACAGUAUGUGCUAGCGGGGUUUUCCCACCCCCGAAACAAUGAGUGCAGAAUGGAACUAAACCAUCUAUAAACAUAGUGUACACGACCGUGAACGCUUGGAUCCUCUUUUGUGCAGUGCUGGGAAACGUUAUUUAUGCUUAAGUACUUUUUGCGCUUGUAAAAUAUUAUUACUAUCCCAAUUACUAUUAUCACAGAGCACACAAAACAUGACUCAACAUACAUCUUUGCCAUUAAGUUAAAUGUUAAACAAACUCAACAAAACAAAACGCAAAAGCAAAACAAACAAACAAACGGCUUCUGUUUGCUUCCCUGAGCCUGUGUUGAAAACAAACUGGAGGGGAGGAGGGAUAGCGCUAUUGUUGGAAAUUACAUCUGUACAUAAUUAUUUCACAUAAAGAGAAUCAAGAGUACAUGUGCUAGUUAAAAUUAAAAGCUAAGGGCAAAGCAGGAACAGAAGAAAUGCUGUGUAUGGUUGGCCACUACAGUAUAGGGAGCGAGUAUGUUAGAGCGAGGGAAGAAGUGUUGGCUAAAAAGGGUAAGGACUGUGUAGAAAGCGUAGCAUUGCUAGGCGGUUUGGCGGACGGUAUAUAGGAAUAUGUAUGAUUGCGACAAAAAAGAGGUAUUUAUUUUAAUCCUUAAUGCGAGGAAUAAGAAACGGUAAUAUAAUUUUAUUUUCAGCCUAUGACAUACAACGAAACACUGUAAAACGAAUCAAUUAAACCUCCUUAAUUAUGUAAGCGGCGAAAGUGAGCAGAUUAACUUAUUUAGUUAUCAGUGCAUUGCUAAGACAUUUGAAAACAAACAAAAACAACAACAAAAAACACAAAGAGCGUGGAGAAAAGCGGUAGAGCAAAGAAUGAAAACAAGGAGAGAGAAAAAACAUUGCUGUGAGAGGAAUAAUUACUAGUGAAGGCGUAGUAGCGCACAAGCAAGUACGGAACCUAGGACACAGAGCAACGAAACUAAAUCGCACAAAGAGGGGGAAAAAACAUCAUUUAGAAGAAAACAAAAGCAAGGAUCAUUUAGUGCGAAUUAGGAAGAAUUGUAAAGCGAAAGGCGAACCGGCGACGAGCUGGGUGAGGAAGCGAGUGCGAGCUGAUAAUGUUGUGUAUGGUGCUAAGCUGUGUCAAGUGGGGAAGGUAAUGGUCGUCGCCUAGACGAUAGCCGUUGGCCAUUGCCAUUCCCCAAAUCCUGCACACACGUUUGCUACAGAGGACUGGUGAUGGUUUGGCAUGUAGAACAGACACACACAGACACAUUUACACAUUGAAAAUCGGUACGAAGCAAAUCCUGCAGGAGGGAAAGUUUGUUGCCUAUUUUGAUUGAUUCUGUGCUUUUGAUUGAUGUUUCGCUUUGCUCUUCUUUACUUUUGCGUUCAAGAAGAUCCAACAAGGUGUAACAUCUCUGUAUCUUUCUCUUUUGUUCGAAGUUUUGAAGUAAAGCUCCAUUAAUGGAAAGUCUAGAUCGACUUACCACCCUCCCUCGUCAACCAGGGAGUGUGAUGAUCCUCUCCCCAUCUCAACCGCUUGUGUAAAAUGUGUAUUUAUGUUUUCAGCGAGGAACAGGGAGAAGCGAGAAUUAUGUAUGUUCUAUAUAUUUGAAAUCUAGUCCAGAAAGCACACACACUAACUUUUAGUUUUUAUUCUAAUGCUAUAUUAUUGUAAUAGCGUGUGUGUUUGUGUGUGUGGGCACGUGUUGACACGGUAAAGAUGCUGAUCACACAUAGAGUUAAAACACACGACAAUGGAUUAACACUGAACUGAACAGAAGUGAAAACAAAAAUACCGUCAUACAUACACCAAUAUACACAAUUUUCCAUGUUUCCAGUACCGAUUGUCAUAGUUCUAGUUUCGUAUUCUGCGCGCCAGAAUUCAAAAAAUCAAAAAAUUCAAAUCGUCAUCCAAUUGGUAUACAGUUUUGUAUUUAAAAAAAAACCCCACAUAUAUCCACACAACCGAAUAAAACGUGUUGCUGCUUACUGAACGAUCCAAUGACAAUGACGUAUAUAAGAGCUAAUCACAUCGUGACCGAUAUUGUUUUUUUUUUGUUCGAUAGUAAUGUUUUAAACACCAACCAGCGAAGGAAAUCAAUUUUGACAUUCCUUUCUAGACAGUAUUUUUUCUCCAACUAUGAAGGAAUAAUUUUCGUUAUGCUAUUUUUAUCGUUAUCACUAUCUCGUACAGCGCUUAAUUUAAGUUUUUUUGUUUGUUUGUUUUCUGCUUCCAUCUAAGAGAACCCCCGAUCAACACUUGUACAUCCACAAAGCCGAGCAAAAAGUAAACUUUUUCUUAUAUUUUCUUCUUCACAACUCUGGAAAGGGAACGGCAAAACCAUAUAGACACAGCCCAGUUGGGUUGAAUGAGGAAUUUUUAUACAGAUCGUUUGAUUUAAACAAUGGUGGUACCUCUUCACAACCAGUUGAGCUAAUGUGUGUAGAUAAAAAAAAGAAGCACAAGUCAGUAAUAAGUACUGCUCCGUGUAGCGGACAGAAUACCUAUAUUUGUAAAAUCGUAUCUAAAAGAUACAUACCAACCAAUGCAAUGGACAACUUGAGAGCAAAAAGCAAAAACAAACGAUCCUGAACCAGUUGACUAGCGUGUAGUACACACCACAUUCAAAUGAGCCACUUCGUCGUAUGGUCUAAUGUACUGUUAUUUUGGAGCAAACAGCAAACCGCUUUGUAAAACUGUUAGAUAAACAGAUGGUAUACAUAGUAAGCACCUCCCAAAAGCAAAACAAAAAAAAUCAAAAAAAAAAAAAGUAAAUGUAAUAAGCUUACCCACACAGUGGAGAUGUGUUGCUACUAGUAGGUCUAGGGAAAUGGAGAGGAAAACUUUUGGUGUACAUUUCAUAUUCAAAACAAACGUAAAAUGAACCGAGAAGCCAACACAAAACGAUGAAAUGGAAGAAAACUGUUUUAACAAACACAAUUCAAACAAAUUACAGCACGCGCGUACGCUCGUGGCGCAGUGUUUAUAAUUAAAAAAAGAGAUGCAAAACACUAAGCUACUAAUAUGAUGGCAAACAACAAUGUAAUGUUGAAUAAAGUACAGUGGAAGAAAUCAUAAAAUAAAACAUGAAGAAUGUAAACUCGUCGA